rnacentral:hammerhead_ribozyme from 1 species
AUCCAGCUGACCAGUCCUAAGUAGGACGAAAUGCGCGACCUGGAU